UGGUCAGUCGGUCCAGAUCCGAGAAUGUGUAAAUCAGGCACAUAAAGAGGGACAGGGAGAGCGAAGGAAAAGUUUUGAAUCCCUGAAUGAAUUUGUAGAAAGGCGGCUUAGGAUCAUUAUGUCAGCUUUAUUGAGGGCGGAUUAAGCAGAGUCUAGAUGCUAUGCCUUGUACACGGCUCUUUCACAAUGUGG
rnacentral:lncRNA from 1 species